rnacentral:rRNA from 1 species
UACGGAGGGUGCAAGCGUUGCUCGGAAUCACUGGGCGUAAAGAGCGUGUAGGCGGUUUCGUAUGUCUGGCGUGAAAGCCCCGGGCUCACCCCGGGAAGUGCGCUGGAAACUGCAUGGCUCGAGUACCGGAGAGGUUGGUGGAAUUCUCGGUGUAGAGGUGAAAUUCGUAGAGAUCGAGAGGAACACCGGUGGCGAAGGCGGCCAACUGGACGGAUACUGACGAUGAGACACGAAAGAGUGGGGAGCAAACAGG